rnacentral:tRNA from 1 species
GGAUUAUGGUUCAGUGGUAGAGUGCUUGCCUUACGUGUGUGAGGCACUGGGUUCAAUCCUCAGUACCA